rnacentral:lncRNA from 1 species
CCCCAGUGCCCCCCAGCUCCCCCAGCGGGUCCAUCCCAGCCACCAGGUGUGUGGCUGACGGUGCCCACGCUGAGCCGGCAGCGGGGAGGCCCAGCCUGGACGGCCCCGAAAGACACGGGAGGUGUUUGCAAGACCUCUGGGGGCGAGUGUGCGUCAACCCCCUGCUGUGAGUGGGUGAUAACGGGCGCUGCCUGCAGGAUUUUCCACAGAAAGUGAGGCCUGAUAAAGCAGGCCCAGAUCCUGUUUGGCCACCGCUGUGCCCGCCGGCAGUGGUGAUUAACGGGCUGGACCGUGGGGUGCAGGCAGGCAUGGCGGGGGAGGGCCCGCCACCCUAUAUAAGGCACCCAGGACCGGCCAUUCAAGCUGCACUGGUGGCAGCAGCAGGCCUGCCCGGCCAGAGCCAACUCUGCCCUGUACGCCAUGCUCCAGCGCUGGCUGCUGCUGUGCUUCUGCGGGGCCCUGCUCAGCGCUGGUCUGCCCGAUGCGUAUGCCAGCCCAGGCCCCCAGAGGCCGAAGGACUCUCCACAGACAGGUAAGAGCACAGCAGCCACUGACCCUGCACACAGACCACCCACCAACCAGGCCCAGUGUGCAGGAGAGAGGGACCCGGAGUCCAGGCCACCCCCAAGACACACCCUACACACACACACACACACACACACAAAAAAAAAAAAAACCCAACACACAACCCUACACACACACACACAACCCAACACACACACACACACAACUCAACACACACACACACCCAACCCAACACACACACACCCAACCCAACAUACACACACAACCCAACACACACAGAGAACCCAACACACACACAAAACCCAACACACACACACACAAAACCCAACACACACACACACAAAAAAAAACACACAACCCUACACACACACACAACCCAACACACACACACAACCCAACACACACACACACCCAACCCAACACACACACACCCAACCCAACAUACACACACAACCCAACACACAGAGAACCCAACACACACAUACACACAAAACCCAACACACACACACAGAACCCAACACACACACAUACACAAAACCCAAUACACACACACAACCCAACACACACACACAUACACACACACAUACAUGCUGCCCAGACCACCCAGGCUCAGUCUGCAGGAGAAAGGGACCCAGAGUCCAGGCCACCCCAAGACACACCCUACACACACACACACACACAAAAAAAACCAACACACAACUCUACACACACACACAAUCCAACACACACAACCCAACACACACAGAGAACCCAACACACACAUACACACAAAACCCAACACGCACACAUACACAAAACCCAACACACACACACACAACCACACACACACAACUGAAAACACAUACACACACAACCCAACACACACACACACACAAAACCCAACACACACACACACAUACACACACACAUACAUGCUGCCCAGACCACCCAGGCCCAGUCUGCAGGAGAAAGGGACCCAGAGUCCAGGCCACCCCCAAGAGACACACACCCAACCCACACACACACACAACCUAA